UACGGAGGGUGCAAGCGUUGUCCGGAUUUAUUGGGUUUAAAGGGUGCGUAGGUGGCUUGUUAAGUCCGGGGUGAAAGCCCACAGCUCAACUGUGGAACUGCCCUGGAUACUGGCGAGCUUGAGUCCAGACGAGGUUGGCGGAAUGGAAGCUGUAGCGGUGAAAUGCAUAGAUACCUUCUAGAACCCCGAUUGCGUAGGCAGCUGACUAGGCUGGUACUGACACUGAGGCACGAAAGCAUGGGGAGCGAACAGG
rnacentral:rRNA from 1 species